GCGGGAUUAGUUUAGUGGCAGAACGAGUGCUUCCCAAGCACUAGAUACGGGUUCGAUUCCCGUAUCCCGCA
rnacentral:tRNA from 1 species